UGAAGUGUCUGUAACCCGAGCUACCACUGUAUACGUAAUAAUCAACACUUUGAAUUGGGCCCUGAAACAGACCAGUAGCGAGUGGAGCUCUUGUAACAAGGGAGUUGUAUGUUGCCUAUAACCAGCCUGAUCCAUAAUUCUGGGGUUGGUUACAAUAAAACCAAAGCAUAUGCAAUUCCAACACAAAUUAAGAGCAGAUAAAGACAUAGGAUUCAGAGUAGACUCAUUGGAAUUGGUAGACCUAAGUGGAUUGUGUCCAUUAAUUUAAAUGGGUCUCCUCUGAGUAAAACAAACAUUAGACACAACCCAUAGCAAAUCACUAAGAAAACAUCUUUAUAAAAGCAUCCAUGGAAUUUCCCAUGGCUCCUAAUUGCAUUGGCAGACGCAAAUCCCCAAUGUGAAAAAAUAAACAAAAAUGGCAGACAUAUAUCUCAAAAGAAUCCCAAAGUGCAAACUUAACCAUUGUAUUGCUUAUCAGAUGACAAGUGUUCUGAAGGGAGGCAAGACAUAUACAGGUUUCAGCGUCUGCUCAGUAGUGGGACUCGCAGUGCUGUCACCGAUCCGCAGCCAAGAAACUGCUGCCACCUUUCUUUUCUGGGAGUUAACUUCCUCACUGGCAGUUAACCAUCAGUUCCAAUGUAGAGGGCUGCUUGUGUAUUUGUGCACAGGUGCACAUAGUGUAUACAGAGCACUAAUGUGUUAAUGUAAAAACACUUCUGGCCAUUUUUCCAUAAUUAGCCCUGGUGGAUUUAGUGUGAAGAAUGAAUAUGGUUUCAUUUUAUAGCCAAUGGUUUAUUGAAUUUGCUGAUAUUAGCAGUGUGUAUUAUAUUGACAUAGUUCCUGUUAACCGAGUCUUACUACAGACGUAAAUGAGUACAUGUAUAAUAACAAUGUCUUUUUUAUGAAUUAUGAGGGAAAGAUGUGGCUGUAUCUGCCAUGACUGAAUGGUGGUGGUGGGGAAUAUCUUAAGCACAGUUAUUGUGCUCAGUUCACUUGGUUUGGGUUUAAUGUUUGCAAUCCAUGCUCUUAGUCUUGCACAGAUCAAUAGGUAUACCUAACAAUGCAUCUCCUGAGAUCCCACUGUUCUUUUACAUAUUUGUAUACAAUCCAAAUGGGAUUUCCCUUCCAUGGGAAAAAGUCAGUUUCUUGGCAUAAUUUGUUAGUAUUUUAUUGCGUGGGGUGUGUGUGUGAUAAGAAUAACAGCACUUACUCACAUAUGUUACUUUUAGAAUCCUUAAAGGAAGAUCUGUAUUAUAACCCCUAUAUUACAGAUGGAUGAUAUUAAAAAUAGUGGCUUACCUGAGAGGCAAGAUUCAGACCAGGAGUUUCCUGAUUCAUGGAUCAAUCCUAGUUGAAGGAAGAAUUGUAGACAGUCAGUUCAUUAGUAAAAGCCUCAUGUGAUCAUGUAAUGGACCUAGAAAGACACACACAACCUCAUGUUUUUAGAGGGCAACCAUUAAAGGGUUAUGAUGUCCUUUUUUAAUAGUAACAAAAACCUAGGUUUAGCCAUCCAGUUCUAGUAUUUGGGGGGGCCCUGUUCAGAUGAGGCAUCUAAAAGCAUUGCAGUUUGUAUAUAGUCUGCAACAGAAACACGUGCUGAUAUUUUUCAUCAGUUCCUAGUAAGAGAACAGCAACCUGUUUUUCUUUAAAUAGCAUUCUCUGCAGCCUUCUCAGAAUUUUCUGUGGUUCCCCCCUCCCCUUUGGUUAGGGUAGCUAAUGUCAACUUUCUGUUGUUGAACCAAACUCUGUAAUAAUGGAGCAAUGACACAUCGAGCUCUUUGUUUGCGAACUUAUUAAUCUGCUGAGAGAAAACACUCGAUAAGAAGAAAGAGAUGGGAGGGGGCAGUAACUUAAGUGCAGCCAUUAAAACGUAUUAUGGAGACCCUGGGCUUGUUCUAAAUAGAGUAAAAUUAGCAAUGCAAAUAUUUCUACUCGCCAAUUAUCCUAGAUAUAAAUAGAAGGUCGGAGAUCUGCACAGUUAAUACCAGCCAUGUUGAAACCUUUUCUCAGCAGUUCACCAGCAAAGUGGCUUUGUGUUUUCCAAUCUGUAUUCAUAGGGUUUAAGGGACCUGGUGAGGAGGAUGGAAAGGUGGAAACAGGUUUAAAGGGCUGUGAGGAGUAAAUUAUUUCUUGUACUAUUGUAAACAGAACAAUCCAGUGAUGUCUGGUUUCUGAAUGGUAAAUAUGCACACAUUGAUACAUUAAAUAAAUACACAUUUCUAGCCCAUUGACUUCUCCCAAAAUUAUUUUUAUAUAGAAUUUGCAAAUCUGAUGGCCCUGCUCUGAGUACAGAUCCAGAAUAGGCUGAUAACAUUAGGAACAAAAAGUAUAUGACUACCAAUAUUGAUUGUUCCUGCUGAGAAGGUGGCAUAUUUCUGGGUCUGAUAAUUGCCUUCUAAAAAGCUGGAUUUGGUGUUUAAGGGUAUGUCCAGAUAGCUCUGAUUUUAUAAACUAGAUGUACUGUUCCAGCCUCUUAUCUGCAUUAUAGAUAAUGCUAGAAACUUCACCAAGUCAGUGCAUGGCCAGGGUGUUAGGCUGGGGUUAGGCUGAUGGAUAAAAAUACAGCCAAGAAUGUCUAUAUUCAGUACCCUUCCACACCAGCUUCAGACUGAAGCUCAGACACCUUUUGUAGAAAGAGCCCUUGAGCUGGGGAGCAGAAAAGUCAGAGAAUGGGGUACAUGAACUGAAUGUCUCAGUACUUGCUGCACUGUUAAAAGGCACUCAGUCAGGAGUGUUGUUGCUUUAGGCCAGGUCAGAUCAGAGACAGGGUGCAUUACUUCUGAACUUGGGAGGCCUUGUGCCAAGUAAAGGUUGAGGUGGAUGGACAGUGGGCUUCUUAAUAGGUUACAAGUCUGGCAUCUGCCUAAUUCCACUAGUAUAUUGUGUCAGCCAUGAUAGCCUCUGUUGCAUAAGGCACAGACCACAUCCUCUCCUAAUAUUUGUAAAGAUUAGGAAAAAAACACUCUUAUGAGUAACAGAGCUCUUUUAUACCACGAGUUUAUAAAUGAAUUUAUUGGUUAUAAGCCAUGGUUCUAUCAAUAUUUAGAGAUAAGACUAUACUGUAAGUAUAGGUUACAAGACUUUAUUUUCAGGCAACUAACAGCUUGGAAACUAGAUUAUAAAGUUACAGUAUAAGAGUAUGCAGAGGAACAUCUCUGUUACAUGGUUGUCUUCAUGACAAGAUAAUUCUUAGAAAUAUAAACCUAAAUGGGACAAUGAUCUGCAGACUCAUGCUUGCAUCUCCAGAAAAAAACAAAACUGAUGAUUCCAAUGAAACUUUUAUUUCUAAAAUGAAUUAUACUCAGUGCUGAUGUCAACACACUUUGUGAUCACUGGGCUCUGAAUACAAAUUUUCCAGGCCCAGAAAGCAUGCCAGUAUUACAAACUGUGUUUCUGCUGUUUUGAUUGCUAUUUGAUAUAGAGAACAGUUUAUCCCUUCCCACAUCAUUCACAUUGAUGACUGCAACAACAGCGGUGGCAGGAAAGAAGGUAUUUGGCUCUCUUUCCUUUUGCCUCCUUUUCUGGUGCUUGGACCAGUUUCUACAGUUGGAUUUGGAAUUUUUGUUCACUUCUGAAUCACGCUUGGUAAACGCAGCCUGUCUGCCAUGCAAAAAUAGGAAAAUAGCUAGGUUAAUUCUGUGGCAGGUUCUUUAUUUCUCCCCCUAAAUGCCUCUUAUGAGCCCUCAAACCCUCAUAACUGUGUGCUAAUUUAGCUGUGGCAGCAGCACAGCGGGGACUUUUCUCUUCCUGGCAUUGUUAAUGCUGCUGUGGCAGUUCCUUGGCAUCUGGAUGGGGUAAAGACCUCCCAACCAUUGCUGCUCAAGGAGCAGCAGCCAGGAGCAAGUGUGUGGGAGCUGUGGCAUAUGUAUGUCAGGUUUAUUGUUCAUAGUUAAAAAUGCAGAUUUUAGGGGUAUGCAGGAAAUUUUUCUCCCAAAAAACCCAGUUCUCCCCAUUAUUAUUAUUUUUUAAUUUCUCUAUAAAAAUUGAAAUCUCUCCUCAACUCUUUGUCACAGCACAAAUGUUCAGUUUGAGGACACAUGUGGCCGCCACCUUGCUGAAGCAGUCUGAGUAUCUGGAUAGGUGACUUCCAGUGAACCAUAUGUAGAUUACACUGGGUUCCAUGAUGGAAGACAGGUGGAAUAUAAUGAGAAGGAAACAAAUAAGUAAUAAACAAACAAACAAACAAACAAACAAACAAACAAACAAACAAAUAAUAGAAAGGGGGGAUUUUGCUGCUGGAAACCACCUCCUUUAAAAUGAGAGGCAGAAUUAAGUAUACAGAUCACACUGAAAUGUUGACUAAGGAAGAGGUUACUUAUUCCUAAAAUGGGGAUAGGCAGAAUUUAAAUAGUGGCAGGUUGAACCAUUUUAGUUCAAACACAAACACAUUUUCUUGCAUAUUUAGAUAGCUAAGCUGGAUAAGGAAAUGUGCUGAAAAAGGAGCAAGUCCUAGUGAAAUAGAAAGUCAAUACUGAGCAUGUUUAGUGCUCUAUAAUAGCAUUGAUGGAACUUGGAGACUUUAAUUAAAACACUUUGCAAGUUCCAACUAUGAUAAAAUGAUAAACCGGAGUCUAGGUUUUUCCAAAACUGUUAAACCUUCACAUUAGGCAAGAUGCCACUGAGCUGCUCUGAAACAUGCUUCCAGAUUUCUCCCUAGGGCUCAGAGAAAGAGAGACUGUGAAAUGUCUCACUGGAAGCCUUUUGAAAUGAAAAACUGAAUAUUACUAUAAAUGUGUCCUUUGUUUUUAGAAAAUAUUGGUUUAGGAGAUCAUGAGUGGCAAAAGCCCUUCUAAGGCAUAAUUACAAUUUGUACUUCCAAAUUCAGCCAUUCUGCAUAAUUCUUAAAGACACCUAUUAGAAGAGAUGCUCUUCAUUGAAUACAAGCCACCAAUAGCUUCCCUGUCACCACUGCGCUAUGGAAGCCAGCAUUUGCAGAAUCAGAGAUCAUUGUUGCUGUUAUUGUUUAAAUUUAUAUCCUGCCCUUCUUCCCAAAGGAGCCCCGCAUAGCCAGUUCCUCCAAGGAGCCAACCUACAUAAGGAUUUAGAUUACAUAAGUUCUCUGCUGAUAAAACACCUCUUUAUAGUUGCAAUAGCGAGAAGAGCUUCAGCUGGCAGCGCACACUGAGAACUGUCCAUGGUUAUGACUUUCCUGAUCUCUGCUCAAAGAGAUCUGACCCAUCCUGUCCUGCCCUUCCCAGAAAUCACACUGCUUAACUGCUUCCCCUUCCUCAUGCCUCAAUGGAACACAAAUUGCCCUUCACCCUUAAAUGAAUAUUCUGCACAUCAGCCAGGUCCCUCAGUGAUUAUCUCAGAUAUAAAGUGAGGUAGAGCUCAUGAGCAUUCCAAUUAUUAGUUCAUCCCCCACUUCCAAAAAGAGAACAAACAGAGAUAUCUGACAGACAUGAACUCAGUUCUUCAUCCCAACAUCACUUCAGAAGUGGGGGCAGGCUGAACUUUAUCUGCUGAGCAUGACACAUUUUUUCUUUCAGAGACAACAAUCAUUUAAGGGCCAGAAUCAUCAGAGCAUGCUCAACUGACCUAGGCUCCCAAAGCCUUCAUGAGACCAAGGAGAAGAGAAUAGCAGGCCACUAAUUUUUCCUCAGGCAGAAAAUUCUCUGUUUUAUCAGGAUGAAGACUAAUGUCUAGCUGCUUCCUACUUUUGUUGGGGAUUUUAUAUUGUCAGCAUGAGAAAAGUAAAUGACCAUGGUUGCAGAGAGAUCAUUUAAAGGCAAGCAACGAUUAGGUGAACACAAUAUAUGGGUGUGGGAGGAAGAAGGGGAGAAAAAGAGUAAACAGAUGCUACAAUGUUUAAGAAGAAAGAUUAGAAGAAAGAAAGCUAAAAUGAAUUUCCUAUAAUAUUUGAAUUUAAUUUUUUGUGUACCAUAGAAAUGAUUUCUGUUGUGACUGCUGGACCAAGGUUUUGAAAAUAUUUGUGUUCCUUGUUCAUUGCAUAUAUCAGAAUUUUUACGUUCUGUCUUUCACGUUCCAGAGAUUGUUGUUCUUCCCCUUUCCCAGAGUGUAUGAGAUGCACUUGUUUCUUUGUAACUGAUUGUGCCUACCUCUCUAGUUGUGUUAAUUUCUUUUGUAUUAGACUUCUCCUUAGGGGGAGAUUUGGUUGACUUUGUGCAACUUGUGGCUCUGCUAGGGUGGUGUAUAGCAGCAAAUGUAACCUAGACUCAAUUUGAAUGUUUUAUUACACUACAUAGGCACCAUCUGGAUCCUGAUGAUUAAAACAAGCCUUCAGAGCUGCAUGGGGCUUUCAACUUGCGUCACCAAAAACAGAACAAAGUAAAACACCCAAGUAUAAAAACAAAAGUUUCAUAUGCCCAAGAUGAGACAAGGUGCUUCAGAAGCCUAGGGCAAUGUGAGUGCCAAAAGGAUUUAUCAUUCAAGCCACAGAUAAUUCAGACAUUACUUCUGCAUAGUUCAUUGGUUUGGCAGUAUCCCAUCCUCCAAAGGAGAGCAGAAUUAAAUGAAGGGGAGGGAAUCCCGAGGCACAACAGGGAGGAGUGUAGAACAAAUAGAUAGAGGAACAAUGCUUGUAAAAUCAUGCAAUAUAUAUAUAUUAAUAGCCAUGUUCUCUCCCUACAUGUAAGUGAGGGAACCAGCACUUCCCACAACAUGAUUAACUUCUUGCUGGUGGUAUAAAGACAUUGGCUUCUUGCUGGUUGUAUAAAGGAAUUAAUCAUCCUUUUAUUAUUGUGAUCCGCCUGCAGCCAUUUGUUUUACUUGCCCUCUUUUCCUAGGGCAAUUUUAAUUCUAAUUGGUGCUUUGGUGAAGUGUUGGAUUGCAAGGAGGGAAGAUGUGUAUCUCUCGGAGACAAGGUGAUGUUUGAAAAUAGCAUUGAAACUGAAUGUCUGGGACAGAGAGACUAGCGCUGGUGGCAUCAUCUAAGAAACAUGGAGGUGGGGUGGAAGGAAAUGCCAGCAGCCCUGAUCCUACCAUGUUUUAAGGUACAUUAUAUUAGAAAGGGAGAUACGGGAACUUGCCCAGAAAGACACUUAUUGAUAGCAAGGAAUGGUUAGGAGACUCUUUUCAAAUGCCUUCCUAAGCACACCUGUAGCAUUCCUAAAUUACAAAGUUGAUAUAAAGGGUAAAGGACCCCUGGAUGGUUAAGUCCCGUCAAAGGCGACUAUGGCUCAUCUCGCUUCAGGUCGAGAGAGCCAGCGUUUGUCCACAGACAGCUUUCCGGGUCAUGUGGCCAGCAUAACUAAACUGCUUCUGGUGCAGUGGAACACUGUGACGAGUGCCUGAGCGCAUGGUAUAAUAGAUAUAAUUCAUCCCCAAGACACCACUUGGCUAAGGUAAAAAGCCUUUCUCCUCAUCUUAGUCAAAAUGCAGCCCAGUGAAGUAGCUGUACCAUGAUAAUUUGGAUUGUCAAAGCUUUAGCAUGGAACAUAAUAAACUUUUUUGUUUCUUAGGUUUUUUUAUAUAAAUCUUACUGGUAUUUGAUAUAACCUUUGUUGAUGUUGCACUCCAGAUGCAUAGCACAUUUUGCAGCAGUUUUCUUAACAUUACCCCUCUGUGUUUAGUUCAUGUAGGAUUAUUCCAUUUUCUAGUGGCAAGGGGAUGAAGCUGCUACAGGGGCACCAGAUCAUUUCAUGACAAUGAGAGAUGUGCAAAUCUGGAUCCCAAUUUUUAGAUCCUAUGCUUCAUUCACUGGACAAUUCUAGCUCCGCAAAUAGUUCCCCGGCACCAUGGGAUUCACAUGGGGAACAAUAAAUGUACUAUCUUGGUUCAGCUAUUUUGCAAUAAGCUUAAACAUAAAAGCUUUAGUUUCACAAGUGACUCUGACACACUUCUGCUCAUCUACAUAAGCAUAUGGUCUAGUAUCAAAUUGUAAGCUGAAUUUUAAUGAAAGAGGCAGUGUCCAGUCAUUCAACUGGGUACUACAUGGUGACCUAGCUGAAGCCUCUACUACAGAGCUUUCCAAACUUUUCAUGUUAGUGACACAUUUUUUAGACAUGCAUCAUUUUGUGACACAGUGAUUCAGUUUUACUAGCAAACCGGAAGGUUAAACUAACCCCUUUCCAACCCUGGGAGAAGCAUGGGGAGCGUUUGCAUGACACACCCACAGACUGCAACCGACACACCAAUGUGUCGCGACACACAGUUUGGAAAGCUCUGCUCUACUAUAUUACCCUUGUGAUUAUGGCUGAUGAAAACUAUAUUUACACUUUUUGAUGAAACUCCCAUCUACGCUACAUACAGGAAAAAGCUCCUUUUCUUUUGUUUUGUUUUUUAAAGUGAUAUUUAUUGAGAAUUUUAAGAUUAC